AAUUGGUGACUAAUAUAUCUUUACGGAUCACAUUCUUGUGACAUAUCAUGCAGUUUCUGACGUAUCGGCUUUCGACGGUAGUGAUAUUGGCCUCCCGUGGCAUGACGGGUAACGGGGAAUUAGGGUUCGAUUCCGGAGAGGGAGCCUGAGAACGGCUACCACAUCUAAGGAAGGCAGCAGGCGCGCAAAUUACCCAAUCCUUAUACAGGGAGGUAGUGACAAGAAAUAACAAUACAGGACUUUUUGGUUUUGUAAUUGGAAUGAGGUAAGUAUAAACCCCUUUACAAGUAUCAAUUGGAGGGCAAGUCUGGUGCCAGCAGCCGCGGUAAUUCCAGCUCCAAUAGCGUAUAUUAAAGUUGUUGCAGUUAAAAAGCUCGUAGUUGGAUUUCUGGUAAUAAUUUAUAUAAAAUAUUUUGAUGAAUAUUUUUAUAAUAUUAACAUAAUUCAUAUUACUAUAUAUUUUAGUAUAUGAAAUUUUACUUUGAGAAAAAUAGAGUGCUUAAAGCAGGCAUAUGCCUUGAAUACUCCAGCAUGGAAUAAUAUUAAAGAUUUUUAUCUUUCUUAUUGGGUUCUAAGAAAAGAAUAAUGAAUAAUAGGGACAGGUUGGGGGCAUUUUGUAUUUAACAGUCAAAGGUGAAAUUCUUA
rnacentral:rRNA from 1 species